AGAGUUUGAUCAUGGCUCAGGAUGAACGCUGGCGGCGUGCUUAACACAUGCAAGUCGAACGGAAACUUAAUGAAACCUAGUGAUUUAAGUUUUAGUGGCGGACGGGUGAGUAACGCGUGGGUAACCUGCCUCGUACUGGGGGACAACAGUUGGAAACGACUGCUAAUACCGCAUAAGACCACAGAGUCGCAUGACUCAGGGGUAAAAACUCCGGUGGUACGAGAUGGACCCGCGUCUGAUUAGCUAGUUGGUGAGGUAACGGCCCACCAAGGCGACGAUCAGUAGCCGGCCUGAGAGGGUGAACGGCCACAUUGGGACUGAGACACGGCCCAAACUCCUACGGGAGGCAGCAGUGGGGAAUAUUGCACAAUGGGCGAAAGCCUGAUGCAGCGACGCCGCGUGAGUGAAGAAGUAUUUCGGUAUGUAAAGCUCUAUCAGCAGGGAAGAAAAUGACGGUACCUGACUAAGAAGCUCCGGCUAAAUACGUGCCAGCAGCCGCGGUAAUAC
rnacentral:rRNA from 1 species